UAAAGAAAAGACUGUCAAUAUAGCUAAAGACGACUGCCUAGUGUAUUAUAUUAACUACUCCAUAAAAAAUGGAGGAAAAUAGUACGUACAUUAGGCAAGUCAUCCUUGGCUAAUUGACAAAGGCUUUUAUUU
rfam:Capsicum annuum cultivar Zunla-1 chromosome 8, whole genome shotgun sequence